UAUGGUGGAAUAUGAGCACUAAUGUUUGUCCCAUUAUGCUGGAGAACAAAGGCUGUGCAAAACAUUAUGGCCAGUUACUCUAGCAGGUGUUAAUAAAUUGAAGAGAGUUCUUCAGCUACAGGAACAAUGGAGGGGAUAUAAAAUCUGUUUAACAGGAAGAAUCAAAUGCUUGUGUUGUUUUGCUAAUCAAAGAGACUGCUACAGCAGUAUGAUCUUUGACAGUGAGGAUAACCAUAAAGUGAUUUAACAUAGGCAGCUUAUACUUCCAAUUGAUGCAAUUAAAAAAAAUAAUAAUGUUUUCCAUAAAACUCUUCACCUGAAAGAAGGAAAACAUGAUUCAGUGAAGUUCUGUGUCCUGUGCUGUAGAGGAUCAUCACAACUGCUUUACAUUAUCUGCCCUUU
rnacentral:lncRNA from 1 species